CUGUAAGUAUUUCACAUCAUGUAUCAUUGUUGUUUUCAGCUGCAUAUCCAUUUUUGUUUAUUGACUUGAAUCUUGAUAGGGAACAACAGUUGUGUGGUUAUCCCCCAACCCACCUUUAUGACCAAGUUGUAGCUUAAGCACUCUAUUUCGAAUGGUAGCAACCAACUGCAAGCCGUCGUAACGGAUUAAAAUAGUUUCAUGCAGUCGUAACGGAUUAAAAUAGUUUCAUGUUCUUUUGCAAACUCUUACCUCCAUCUUCACUUCCUGGUUUUCAGAUUGAGGCUUGUGCACACCCUUUCUUUGAUGAUUUGAGAGACCCCACUGCAUGUUUGCCUAAUGGGCGAGCUCUACCUCCUCUAUUCGAUUUCACGGCUCAAGGUAAGCUAGGUAGGUUAAU
rnacentral:lncRNA from 1 species